UGCAAAUGAUGUUUUUCUCACGAUGGUCUUCAGAGUUAAAACUUGACGAUAUCGCCUUAUGGCAAUGCUGAUGCAGUCUC